UACGGAGGGGGCUAGCGUUGUUCGGAAUUACUGGGCGUAAAGCGCACGUAGGCGGCUUUGUAAGUUAGAGGUGAAAGCCCGGGGCUCAACUCCGGAAUUGCCUUUAAGACUGCAUCGCUAGAACGUCGGAGAGGUAAGUGGAAUUCCGAGUGUAGAGGUGAAAUUCGUAGAUAUUCGGAAGAACACCAGUGGCGAAGGCGACUUACAGGACGACCGUUGACGCUGAGGUGCGAAAGCGUGGGGAGCAAACAGG
rnacentral:rRNA from 1 species